CAGUAGCCGCGGUAAUACGAGGGGUGCAAGCGUUAUUCGGAUUGAUUGGGUGUAAAGGGUGUGCAGACGGCUUAUUAAGUCACUUGUUAAAUUCUUCGGCCUAACUGAAGGUCUGCAAGUGAUACUGAUGAGCUAGAGGGUGGAAGAGAGAAGUGGAAUUCUCGGAGUAGCGGUAAAAUGCGUAGAUCUCGAGAGGAACACCAAUGGCGAAGGCAGCUUCUUGGUCCAUUCCUGACGCUGAGGAGCGAAAGCGUGGGGAGCGAACAGGAUUAGAUACCCGAGUAGUCCCUGUCUCUUAUAA
rnacentral:rRNA from 1 species